rnacentral:lncRNA from 1 species
CUCCACCCCAUGGGAGCUUCUUAAGGGAAAGCACUGAGCUUCCUUUGUUCAUUCACUCCCUCAGUCGAUCAGCUGGUCAGUCGGUCAGUCACCAAUAACUUUGUUUUUUUUAACAAAUAUGCCUGAGUACCCACUGUGUACUGGGCAGAUACAGCUGAACAAUCCUCUAGGAACUCACAGGUUUAUAAGAGAAGCAGGAAAAAGUGGAGGAAGUGGAAGGAAGCCAAAGCAUCCCUCCUUUCACUUUCACUGACCACUGAGUGGGUCUCGCUGGGUCUCAGUGAAAAGAAAGCUGUUUCUACUGCUUUAACCCUUUCCAAUGCAUGUCCCUUUAGACAGAGUAACCCCUGUGAGCUGGUAAUCAAACAGAAUUUUAUUCAAGUGAAACAAACAAUGGAGAAAUAUGGAGUACCCCAAAUUUCCUCCCUUUAAUUUGCACAUUUUGAAGUGCAGAUAUUAGUAAGUAGUUUAUUUACAUGAACAUACAGGAACUUUAACCUUUAAGAGUUUGUAAAAUACGGCUUAGUUUAAAUGCAUUUAUUUGUCUAAAAUUCCUGGUAGUUAAUUGUACUUUUUUUUUUGGCAAGUUUUCACUUGAAAUCUCAAAGUACUUUAAAGUAAGAUGGCAUUAAAAACAGCAACAGGAAUAAGCCGACGUGUCUUAAGGGCUUACCAUGUUUAGACACUAAGUGCUGUUAACAUAUAUCACUAUUUACUCCUUGAACUCGUCCUAUUUGUUAUUAUAUACACACCAUAUACUGUAUUAUUAUUAUUGUCUCAGCUUCACCGAUAAGGAACCCUAGCUUGGUGAGUUCUGAAUUGCUGGCAGAUUAGGGAGGAAUGGACAGUGGAACCCAGCCCUGGCUGUGCCCAGACCCCCUCUCCUCUGCAACACUGUCUGCCUCUGAGGCGCGUGGAGUCCUUCUCCAGCUCUUCAAAGCGUUGCAGGUCCAUGUUGUCCCAACAGAAUUUAAAGGUGCAGGCCAGCAUCACCUGCAAAGUCCCAGGUUGGAAGAGAACCUCGUCUACACUUCUACAGGCAGAUAAGGUCAGAAGUACAUUUUCCAGUCGCCACGUAAGCUGCAGCUCUCUCUAGAUAAACCCGUGUCUGGAAUAGAAGAAAAUGCUCCCCACGUACCGGUCUUCUCUGUGACCUUUUAAUUCUGGGGCCUGGGGCUCCCUUGUUGGUCAGCUCUUCCCUCCACACCAUCCAUGUGCUGAGGCCUCAAGCCACCACUGCUCCAGCCUGGACCUCACCCCUAAACCCAGUCUUGUGAGUGCAUUUUCUACGCUCCCACUAGGGUGUUUAAAGGACUUCUCAACCUUAGUGUGUCCCAUAGAGGGUUCCUGAGCGCCCCCCAGAGCUCUGCCUCUCCCAGUCUUUCCCACCUUAGUGAAGUCACUCCAGAUCACUUCCUGUCACCUGGAAAAUGUGGAGGGUCCUCCUGGAGUCCUCCGUUUCUCUCGCACCUCACACUCUGCACACAAGCCAUGGAAUGGAUCAGGAUCCAGCCCCAGCUCCACCCUCACACAGCACCCCCAGGAGAGGUUGUCUACUAUUGGGAGAGACACUGU